CAACUCUUUCACAUAGGGCCUUCGAGC
rnacentral:piRNA from 1 species